CGCGGGCGGAGGCCGUAACGGGGCGGUGACAGCGGCGCAGGGGAGGCCGGGCGCGCAGUCCGCGGAGGGGCAGCGGAAGAAGCGGGCGGGGGCCCGGGGGGCGAGCGCGGAGCCCGCGGAGGUGGCUGAAAGAAAUUUAUCACGUAAAAGAAAUGAUUGAGUCAGUCAAAUUAAGAAGGCAGUGCAUGCUGGAUUUCUACUCACAUUAUGAACAUCUUUGUGAACUUCAAGGCUCUGUCCCACUGAAAGCUGUGAAGGCUAACCUCACUCAAAAUGCUAUUGAUCUAAUUGUAGAUCACAUCAAAGCUACUGACUGGGCACCACUUCUGAAUGCUAUCAGGCAUAAUAAGACUCUUACUUCUAUCGGAAUAAGAAGUUUACAUCAACAUGGUCUUGAAGAAUCAGGUGUUGAAAGAUAUAAAACUUACUUUAGAAGGAGAACUCCAGCAACUCUGUCAAAAGACUUAACUGGCCAACUAUGCAAAGCUGUGAAAGGCUGUCUUAGUAUAUCAGAUGUACUAAAAAAUUUGGAACUGCAGGGUUUGCUUCUGAGGGAAAGAGAUCUAACACUUUUAACAAAGGGCUUGGCCACAGCUUCAUCUCUGGAAAGUGUCUCUUUAGCCCACUGUCCAAUUGGAGAUGGAGGGUUGGAAACAAUCUGUCAGAGUAUAAAGAAUGCAGCUACUAUCAGAUCUGUAAACUUCACGGCAUGUAGCCUGACAUGGCGAGGGGCUGAACAUAUAGCAAAUGUAUUAAAGCACCAGGCAAUGAGAAGACAUGGUGAAGCUUGGGCUGAAAGCCUGCGUUACAGGCGACCUGAUCUCGAAUAUAUGACAGGCUUGAGACGGGUUACUUUGAACUGCAACAUGCUUGUUGGAGAUAGAGGAGCAAGUGCCUUUGCAGACUGUCUAGGAGAGGACCUUUGGCUGAAAGCACUUGAUUUGCAGCAGUGUGGAAUAUCCAAUGAGGGAGCAAGAUCAUUAUUAGAUGCUCUUCAAACUAAUACAACAUUAGUGGUACUUGACAUAAGAAAAAAUCCAUUAAUAGGUCAUGUUCUGAUGAAAAACAUUAUUGAAAGAGUUCUUAAGAACGGAAAUAUUGCUAAUUCAGAGUAUAAGUGGCUGACAUCUCCAUCUUCCAAAGAUGCUUUGAAAAAUAGACCAAAGAAAAGAACUAUUGUCCUAGGAAGUGGUCGAAAAGGAAAAGCUACUAUUCGUAUUGGACUAUUGUCUAAAAAAUCAGUAAGUCCUGGGAAAAAAAUUACAUCUGUCAAAGAGAGUUACUCACCAAAACCACUACCACCAGGCACAAAAGGCUUCCUUCCUUGGCGGACUGCAGAACGUGCAAAGAGAUGCAGAGGUGGGGCUCUUGAUCGUACUGGAGAAUUGCCAGUGGAGAUUCAGACAGGUGUUCCUGUGAAAGUGACAGUAGAAAGUGCUUCUACAUUUGAUACUGAAGACACAGAAGAUUUAGGUGAUAUCAUCCACUAUCCUGAUCUGGCAAGAUCAAUUGAUAAGAUUAAUGUAACAGAGUAUCAACAAUUAGAGUUGGAGCUGGAAGAAUGCAUGUUAAAACUAAAGGAAGAACAAAGAGCUAGAGAGAAGGCUGAGGAACGAGUAACAGAGCUGGAAAUUGAAAAUGCAAGAUUAAGGAAUCUAAAUAUCUCCCUAUCCGAGGUUCUUCAUGCACAGUCAGUAACCAGCACGAUUUUGGAAGACGAAGGUGUUCUAGGCAGCAUUGAGAACUCUUUUCAAAAGUUUCAUGCUUUUUUAGACCUCCUUAAAGAUGCUGGACUUGGACAACUUGCUGUAUUAGCUGGGAUAGACCAGUCAGAUUUUGGCCUUUUGGGGCAUCCGCAAAUGAAUUCUACUCUCAGUAAGCCUGCUAACAUGGUAAAGGAGAAGUCUUUUGAAGAAGAAAGACAGGAACAUAACCAGAACAGCAAAUAUCUUCAUUGGAAUCUCUCAUUUCAGAACAGAAUAGGGGACAUCCAGCUGUCUCUUCCUGGUACGUUUCAAUCCCAGAUGGUUAUGAAUAAUGCCUUUUCUGCACUUAGAGAAAUACAAGAACUUCAGACUGCUGGACAGCAGUACCAGCUAGGCUCAUGGAAGGAAACUGAAGCUCAAAGAAUUGACGAAAAUAAAGAGGAUAAGCCUCGCAGUAGUACACCAAUAUUCUCUGAGCGGAGAGUCAAACAAAAUGAACAAGCAAAAGGUCACUCAGCAAGGCAGUUGCAUUCAUUUGCUGAUUCCAGUGUACAUAUUAAAAGUGAUGACAGCAGAGUAUCCAGUGGUAUGUCUGUUGAAAAAAGCAAAAAUUCUUCCUCUAAGAAAUGCAUCCCUAGAGCAAAUGAAACGGCAGCUCCAGCUACUGGAGCGAGAGGAAACCAAAGUACACUACAAGCAGUAAACAGCUCUGGAAGUGACACUUUAGGAUCUGGUUCUGAAAUACAGGAAAGUAUACAAAGUGUUACCAGCAUUUGAAAUGGUUCUAAAAUGUUUGGACUGUUCUUUACACUUGGUAUAUUAAUAAUAGAUUUUGGAUGUUUCAGUAUAGUUUGUGAAUUUUUUGUAAGGUAAUGAAGACUUUGUUUUUAAAACAUUGCAUGUUUUUAAAACAUUGCAUGUUGUUUCAUGUUUGCAUUCCUUGUCAUGAGAUUUUGAAUUUUGGAAACACAUGAUACACUUAAAAUGGUACCUGUCAGUUUGUACUACAUACAGAGGACUCCUGGCAUAUGGAUUUCAUUACCUACACUGAUCUUGGUGUAAACUGUUUUGAGCCAAUAAAGUUAAUUUGAGUACAGUUUUUUUCCAGUGUUUAUUUCAGUGUAUUCCAAGGUAGGGCAAAAACGGUUUUGGGGGAAACAUCAAUUCCUGCCUAACAGUGUGUGGGUAUGACAUUUCCAAAAGUAGUGGAAGUUUCAGAUUCAAAAAUGAACCCAGAAACAUCUCUGCAAGAAAUCUUUAAAUAUAACCAUCUUAUUGUAUACCAGUCAUACCAGUUAUUAGUAUGAUGCAGAUUAUAGAGUAACACACACUGGAAGGGACCUUUGGAGGAUGUCUAGUCCAGCUCAGUUAGCUUGCUCUCAGGACCUAGAGAAAUGUGAGAAAAUAAAACUAAAAGAAUAUCAUUGUUCUAAAACUCCUGGGAUUUUUCCCCCAGCUUCUUAUUUCAGUCCCUGUGCAUAGGCAGCUGGUUUGCAGCUUCUGAACUAGAAGAUAUUUUUCACAUACAGGAAUUAGGCUGAACUAGGGGGAAAAAUAUUGUAUAACUUUCUUUUUAUUCUGAGUUCUGUCAUGUGAGUUCUGGAACAAGGAAGAUCUGUAGAAAUUGCUGACUCCUAUUGCUUUAUAAUUAUGACAAAACCCAUGAAUCCUCAAAUGGAAGUUUUCUACAGAGCAAAUAGCACAGGUUUACCUUAACUAUUGCAAUAUUGCACAAGUAAUUGCACAAUGAAAGUAUGUUCUUUGUGCAGACUUUGUCACUUCAGAAUAUUAGAAGGUAAUACGUUAAUCUGUGUUAUUUUUCACAUACUUUCCCAACUGUUUUUCUAAUUCUUCAGUCAUCCUUUGCUUGUGAUUUUGGUUUGAUUGAACAAUUACAUGCAAUCUAUAUAUUCAGCAUUAAAAUGCUAUCUGUUCCUUUUUUUAGAAUUUAAAACUCUAAAGCUAAUCCCCAAGAAAUGCUGGGUAAAAUUAAAAAUUCAAAAGUGUUUGGAUUUGUGAGGUUAGCAAUUAGGAAUCUGUUAUUUGUCCUUAAAAAUACCAAAAAGAACUUAGAACAGUUUAUGUAUUGAAGGCCUAUAAGCAGAUGAUAUAAAAUACCUUUUAUGCUAAGUACUUAAUUUUAUAUAUUCUUUUUGACAAUAUGAAUUAUGUAAAAAAUAAUAAUUUAAAACAAAAUUGAUCAGGCAGUUUGCAAUUAAGAUUGGCAUGUUUUUUUCCAGUGGAUUAAUACUUAACCUUUUUUUUUCUGUAAAAUCAGAAACAUGAAGGAUUCUUCAUCUCAUCACUGGUGCUGUGGUAUAGCACUCUUCCUGCUUCCGAAGAACUACUUUUCACAAUUCAGAACUGCGAUCUCUGGCAAACAAAUUAACCUCAAACCCCUGUUUGAACUACCUGUAUUUUAGGUUUCAGCAAAAUUUGCUUGUCUCACUACUUUGCUGUACCAGACAUUGCAGCUGCCUCCAGAAACAGUUGCCAGGUUGCUAUGUAGUCAGUAUUAUUUGUCUUUAGUAAUGACGUCAGUUUGUCAGGUAUAGUACCAGAGAGAGAACUUGUGUACACUUGCUCUCCUUGAGUGAGCUGAUCCUUUUCCAGCAGUUGUCAAUCAAUGCUGUCCAGCAUAACAUGAAGUUACCAUGAGCCUAAUAAAAGUUCACUGAAAACUCUGAAACUUUA